GACGAACCGUCCAAACGUUAUUCGGAAUCACUGGGCUUAAAGGGUGCGUAGGCGGAGGGGCAAGUCAGAGGUGAAAGCCCACGGCUCAACCGUGGAAGUGCCCCUGAAACGGCCUCUCUCGAGGGAGAUAGGGGCGUGCGGAACUCAGAGUGGAGCGGUGACAUGCGUAGAUAUUCUGAGGAACACCGGUGGCGAAAGCGGCACGCUGGGUCUUUUCUGACGCUGAGGCACGAAAGCUAGGGGAGCAAACAGG
rnacentral:rRNA from 1 species